GAAAGCCCUGUAGAAUAUUCCGUUCCUUUUAGAAGUGUCGUAAGUUGCUGAUCAUAAAUUACCGCUCCUAUCGAUAUUCCCACAGAUGCACCCAUAUUCCUUAGCAGCAUAAAUGCGGAACAAGAAGUCGCCAUCAAAGCAGGAGGUACAGAAGCCUGAAUAGCAAUAAGAUUGGGUUGGAACAGGUUGCCAAUUCCAACAGCUGUCAAAGCCAAGAAUCCCAUGGUACGUGGUAUAGGUGUGUCAUAGUAUAUUGCGAUCAUACUACCGGUACCAGCUAAUAAAACUAUCCAUCCUCCAAUCAUUGGAUAUCGAUAAUUUUUCAAUUUUCCUAUUCCCAUACCACUAAUGGCAGAAACAACUGAAGAUACAACUGCCAGAGAUAAAGUAUGAACACCAGACAUUAACGGACCAUCACCCUUGAUGCUUUGAAAGUAGAUUGGAAUGUAAUAAGUCACAGUUGACAUGAUAUAAUAAUGUAAGAAGGAGGUUACCAUCACAGAAGAUAAAGAGAGUGUUUGAAACGCCGAGGGAGCAAUAAUUCUAGUGCGGGUGGUAUAAAGUUCAUUGACGACAAAACCGGCAAUGCAAAGGAUACCAAAAAUUAAAUAGCACAAGACAUUGGCAUGGGCCCAAUGUCCUGUUGUAGAUCCGAUGUUCAAGCCAAGUAAAAAUAACACAACACCAGUCGUAAUGGUUACAAUGCCCACAAAGUCAAAAUCACGUAAAAACACGCAAAACGAAACUGUAGGCUUGGGUACAAGAUUGAGGAAAAAAAUCAAGAGUGCAAGCGAAAGACCACCAGUAGGUAGAUUAAUGAAGAAAAUCCAGCGCCAUGUAGUAUUCUGUGAAAUUGCACCUCCAAUUAAAGGACCCAUAACAGAAGCAACCCCCCAAGUGACUCCCAUACAACCUGUGUAAUAAGGUCUGGUCUGUAAAGGAGUAAUGUCAGCUAUAACGAUUGUAACUAAAGACAUAAUACCCCCACCGCCGAUGCCCUGCACAGCACGGCAUAGUACAAGCCAAAGCAUAUUUUGGGCAGCACCACACAUGGCACUACCGAAGAGGAAAAGAACAAUGGAAGUAUAGAGGACAAUUUUCCUACCGACUACUUCACUCAUAAUACCACAAAAUGGAAGGAUAGAUGUUUCUGCCAAUGAAUAAGCAGUACCAAUCCACGAAUACGAUGAACCGCCGUCGAGAUUUGCUACAAUAGUGGGAAUAGCCGUAGUAAUGACGGUUUGAUCCAAGGCAGCCAAGAAAAUCGACAACAUAAGUCCUGGAAUAACGAUGUACAAUCGAUUGGAGGGCAACACAAGGGUGAAAUCAGGAGAAUCAUUUUUUUCAGACGAGAUUUCAUGGGUUGAAAACCGAGACUUUAGAGAACCGGCACCAUAAAUUUGAUCUUGAUUCUUGAAAGAAAAGGCUUUCGAGUUUAUAGACUUUAUUUCGUUUGCUUCAUCAAGCGCAGUUGGAUACCAAGCUACUUCACUGCCUGUGGUAUAGAGUUGUAAACUCUUUGGGGAGGCCAAAUUACGAUUUGGAGAAGUAGAAGGAUUCAUUAUGUUUAGUAACUUUAUAACACAAAUACACUAGGGAAAAAAAUCCGUAAGGAAGAGGGUGAAUGCAGCUAGGAGAAAAAGAGAUAUUGCUAGGAAAAAAAAUAAUAUUGAAGGAAAGAAUAUAAAUAAUCAAGACAACGAAUGCAAUUUUAAUGAAACAAUUGAGUAAGUCUGUUACAAUCAGAAAGGGGGGAAAUUUUAACUAAAUCACAGAAUAAAAACACUACUUCCAGGAUGCCUAGUUUUGGUUAUGGUAGAGUUUUUUUUCUACUUGCCUGGAAUGAGUACGUUUUGAGAAAACACAUAGAUAGGAAAUUAUAAGGAAGGAAAAUUGACGCGGCUUUAAGUGCACAUAUUCUUAGUUUAAAAAUAAGAAAAUAUGCACAUUAGGCCAAGUAAUUACCGAGUAAGCAUUUUCAUGUAGAAAAUUUGAAUACGAUCUUUAGAGGCAAUAUUUAUACAGGAUUUUUCUAACGAUGGAGCAAAGGGAGAGCAAAAAAAAAAAAGCCGCGCUAAUAUCCGGAAAAUAGGGACACUGAAAUAAGGAGGUUCGUCGAGAAAAGUCUACAGAGUGUCUAUGCAUAAGAAAAUGAAGGGAAGUCGAAAAAAGCAGGCAUUUAAAAACGACGAGAAAAUGAAUGAAGAGUAUUCCUUUUUGAGUGAGCAAAAACGAUAAUGCCGUGAAGAAAUGAGCAAAUUUACCAAGAUAAGAGGAUAUCGGGAUAGUUGAUUAAUAUUGAUAUAGAUGUAAUGACAGCAAUGUAUAGUAUUAUAAAUUUGUAAUCUUUUAAAAUGUGAGGAAUGUAGAAAUAAUCGUAAACAUGUAUGAUAUUAUAAAGGGAAAAUAGGGGAUCGGAGUAAACAAGUAAGUGAAUGAAGAGAGAGAGGGUUGACAAAAUAU